rnacentral:tRNA from 2 species
GGGGGUGUAGUUUAAAUGGUAAAACGUAUGUUUUGCAUACAUAAAAUCAUCGGUUCGAAUCCGGUUAUCUCCA